rnacentral:rRNA from 1 species
GCUUAGAGAGGGGUCAAUGUCCUAUCAGCUAGUUGGUAGGGUAAUGGCCUACCAAGGCUAAGACGGGUAGCCGGCCUGAGAGGGUGGUCGGCCACACUGGGACUGAGACACUGCCCAGACUCCUACGGGAGGCUGCAGUCGAGAGUCUUUCGCAAUGCCCGAAAGGGUGACGAAGCGACGCCGCGUGUGGGAAGAAGGCCUUCGGGUUGUAAACCACUGUCGGGAGUUAAGAAAUGCAAGGGUGUUAAUAGCAUCCUUGCUUGACUAAGGCUCCGGAGGAAGCCACGGCUAACUCUGUGCCAGCAGCCGCGGUAAUACAGAGGCGGCAAGCGUUGUUCGGAAUUAUUGGGCGUAAAGAGCACGUAGGCGGCUUUGUAAGUCAGUUGUGAAAGCCUUCUGCUCAACGGAAGAACAGCAUCUGAUACUGCAAGGCUAGAGUGCAGAAGGG